AAUCUGUGAUUUGGGCAUUUCCUCAAUAAAGAAUUGAGCCGCUCCCAAGCUUCACAGAAUGGCUCAUCUGGUCCUUGCCUAAAAGUCAAAAUAUCAGCUUUGGCU